UUCUUGGAACAGAACGUCACAGAGGGUGAGAAUCCCGUGCGAUGAGAUGAUCCAGGCCUAUGUAAAGUUCCUUCGAAGAGUCGAGUUGUUUGGGAAUGCAGCUCUAAGUGGGUGGUAAAUUCCAUCUAAAGCUAAAUAUUGGCGAGAGACCGAUAGCGAACAAGUACAGUGAUGGAAAGAUGAAAAGAACUUUGAAAAGAGAGUGAAAAAGUACGUGAAAUUGUUGAAAGGGAAGGGCUUGAGAUCAGACUUGGUAUUUUGUAUGUUACUUCUUCGGGGGUGGCCUCUACAGUUUAUCGGGCCAGCAUCAGUUUGGGCGGUAGGAGAAUUGCGUUGGAAUGUGGCACGGCUUCGGUUGUGUGUUAUAGCCUUCGUCGAUACUGCCAGCCUAGACUGAGGACUGCGGUUUAUACCUAGGAUGUUGGCAUAAUGAUCUUAAGUCGCCCGUCUUGAAACACGGACCAAGGAGUCUAACGUCUAUGCGAGUGUUUGGGUGUAAAACCCGUACGCGUAAUGAAAGUGAACGUAGGUGGGGGCCCGUAUGGGUGCACCAUCGACCGAUCCUGAUGUCUUCGGAUGGAUUUGAGUAAGAGCAUAGCUGUUGGGACCCGAAAGAUGGUGAACUAUGCCUGAAUAGG
rnacentral:rRNA from 1 species